UGAAGGGUAGCUCAGUUGGUAGAGCAUGAGACUCUUGAACUUGGGGUCAUGGGUUCGAGUCUGGCAUCAGGUUAA